GACGUAGGGCGCGAGCGUUGUCCGGAUUUAUUGGGCGUAAAGAGCUCGUAGGCGGCUUGCCGCGUCGACCGUGAAAACUUGGGGCUCAACCCCAAGCCUGCGGUCGAUACGGGCAGGCUAGAGUUCGGUAGGGGAGACUGGAAUUCCUGGUGUAGCGGUGAAAUGCGCAGAUAUCAGGAGGAACACCGGUGGCGAAGGCGGGUCUCUGGGCCGAUACUGACGCUGAGGAGCGAAAGCGUGGGGAGCGAACAGG
rnacentral:rRNA from 1 species